ensembl:snRNA U2 U2 spliceosomal RNA
AUCGCUUCUCGACCUUUUGGCUAAGAUCAAGUGUAGUAUCUGUUCUUAUCAGUGUUUGAUUGCUAAAGUGAAACUGCAGACUGUGAGGAAAAUCAGGACCCCCAGAGUAUUUAAAAUGGAAUGGCAUUUUUCAUUUCCAUAUGAGAAAAUAUAAGGAUUUAUUUAAAAAUUAUUUGUAAAACUCCU